rnacentral:rRNA from 1 species
GAUGAACGCUGGCGGCGUGCCUAAUACAUGCAAGUCGAGCGAACGGACGAGAAGCUUGCUUCUCUGAUGUUAGCGGCGAACGGGUGAGUAACACGUGGAUAACCUACCUAUAAGACUGGGAUAACUUCGGGAAACCGGAGCUAAUACCGGAUAAUAUUUUGAACCGCAUGGUUCAAAAGUGAAAGACGGUCUUGCUGUCACUUAUAGAUGGAUCCGCGCUGCAUUAGCUAGUUGGUAAGGUAACGGCUUACCAAGGCAACGAUGCAUAGCCGACCUGAGAGGGUGAUCGGCCACACUGGAACUGAGACACGGUCCAGACUCCUACGGGAGGCAGCAGUAGGGAAUCUUCCGCAAUGGGCGAAAGCCUGACGGAGCAACGCCGCGUGAGUGAUGAAGGUCUUCGGAUCGUAAAACUCUGUUAUUAGGGAAGAACAUAUGUGUAAGUAACUGUGCACAUCUUGACGGUACCUAAUCAGAAAGCCACGGCUAACUACGU